rnacentral:pre_miRNA from 1 species
AUAGUACUCCCUCCGUCCGGAAAUACUUGGCAUCAAAAUGAAUAAAAGGAGAUGUAUCUAGACGUAUUUUAGUUCUAGAUACGUCCUUUUUUAUCCAUUUUGAUGACGAGUAUUUUCAGACGGAGGGAGUAAAUC